GCUUCCAUAGCUCAUCUGGCAGAGCGUUCGGCUGUUAACCGAAAGGUAGUAGGUUCGAGCCCUACUGGGAGCG
rnacentral:tRNA from 1 species